rnacentral:rRNA from 1 species
GGUUAAGCGACUAAGCGUACACGGUGGAUGCCCUGGCAGUCAGAGGCGAUGAAGGACGUGCUAAUCUGCGAUAAGCGUCGGUAAGGUGAUAUGAACCGUUAUAACCGGCGAUUUCCGAAUGGGGAAACCCAGUGUGUUUCGACACACUAUCAUUAACUGAAUCCAUAGGUUAAUGAGGCGAACCGGGGGAACUGAAACAUCUAAGUACCCCGAGGAAAAGAAAUCAACCGAGAUUCCCCCAGUAGCGGCGAGCGAACGGGGAGCAGCCCAGAGCCUGAAUCAGUGUGUGUGUUAGUGGAAGCGUCUGGAAAGGCGCGCGAUACAGGGUGACAGCCCCGUACACAAAAAUGCACAUACUGUGAGCUCGAUGAGUAGGGCGGGACACGUGGUAUCCUGUCUGAAUAUGGGGGGACCAUCCUCCAAGGCUAAAUACUCCUGACUGACCGAUAGUGAACCAGUACCGUGAGGGAAAGGCGAAAAGAACCCCGGCGAGGGGAGUGAAAAAGAACCUGAAACCGUGUACGUACAAGCAGUGGGAGCACAGAGCAAUCUGUGUGACUGCGUACCUUUUGUAUAAUGGGUCAGCGACUUAUAUUCUGUAGCAAGGUUAACCGAAUAGGGGAGCCGAAGGGAAACCGAGUCUUAACUGGGCGUUAAGUUGCAGGGUAUAGACCCGAAACCCGGUGAUCUAGCCAUGGGCAGGUUGAAGGUUGGGUAACACUAACUGGAGGACCGAACCGACUAAUGUUGAAAAAUUAGCGGAUGACUUGUGGCUGGGGGUGAAAGGCCAAUCAAACCGGGAGAUAGCUGGUUCUCCCCGAAAGCUAUUUAGGUAGCGCCUCGUGAAUUCAUCUCCGGGGGUAGAGCACUGUUUCGGCAAGGGGGUCAUCCCGACUUACCAACCCGAUGCAAACUGCGAAUACCGGAGAAUGUUAUCACGGGAGACACACGGCGGGUGCUAACGUCCGUCGUGAAGAGGGAAACAACCCAGACCGCCAGCUAAGGUCCCAAAGUCAUGGUUAAGUGGGAAACGAUGUGGGAAGGCCCAGACAGCCAGGAUGUUGGCUUAGAAGCAGCCAUCAUUUAAAGAAAGCGUAAUAGCUCACUGGUCGAGUCGGCCUGCGCGGAAGAUGUAACGGGGCUAAACCAUGCACCGAAGCUGCGGCAGCGACGCUUAUGCGUUGUUGGGUAGGGGAGCGUUCUGUAAGCCUGUGAAGGUGUGCUGUGAGGCAUGCUGGAGGUAUCAGAAGUGCGAAUGCUGACAUAAGUAACGAUAAAGCGGGUGAAAAGCCCGCUCGCCGGAAGACCAAGGGUUCCUGUCCAACGUUAAUCGGGGCAGGGUGAGUCGACCCCUAAGGCGAGGCCGAAAGGCGUAGUCGAUGGGAAACAGGUUAAUAUUCCUGUACUUGGUGUUACUGCGAAGGGGGGACGGAGAAGGCUAUGUUGGCCGGGCGACGGUUGUCCCGGUUUAAGCGUGUAGGCUGGUUUUCCAGGCAAAUCCGGAAAAUCAAGGCUGAGGCGUGAUGACGAGGCACUACGGUGCUGAAGCAACAAAUGCCCUGCUUCCAGGAAAAGCCUCUAAGCAUCAGGUAACAUCAAAUCGUACCCCAAACCGACACAGGUGGUCAGGUAGAGAAUACCAAGGCGCUUGAGAGAACUCGGGUGAAGGAACUAGGCAAAAUGGUGCCGUAACUUCGGGAGAAGGCACGCUGAUAUGUAGGUGAGGUCCCUCGCGGAUGGAGCUGAAAUCAGUCGAAGAUACCAGCUGGCUGCAACUGUUUAUUAAAAACACAGCACUGUGCAAACACGAAAGUGGACGUAUACGGUGUGACGCCUGCCCGGUGCCGGAA